rnacentral:lncRNA from 1 species
AUUUUCAAUCUCCGAAGAAUCAGAUGGCACUGUAGUAUCAACAGGAGGGUUAUUAUGGUCUGAGGAGGAUAAUACUGGAGUACAAGCAUUGUCUAAAUUUCUCCUUGUAUAGCAUUUUCGGAACAAGCGAGGUGAUCUAUCAUCCUCAACUCUAGAUUCAUUUUUUGAUUCUACUUGGGAUUCCCCCUCCUUUCUAGAAAUCCACACUUUCUUUUCAUCUAACCACACUCGUUCCUCUUCCUUACUACUAAUCUCCCCCUGAAGAGGAACUAACGACACGUCAUCAGAAAAAAAUGAUUCUGACUCGCAAAAUUCCACAUCCAUAGAAACAUAGUAUUUUCCUGUAGGGGGAUGAAAACAUUUGUAGCCCUUCUGGGAGCUAGAGUAGCCAAGGAAGACACAUUUCAGUGCACGAGGAUCAAAUUUAUCUCUGAGAUGAGAGUGCACAUGAACAUAACACACACAACCAAAAACUUUAGGACAUAGAUUUAAAACAGAGGGAAUAGAGUGAAACUGUGACAACAUUUUUAAGGGAGUUUGAAAGUCAAUGAUGCGAGCAGGCAUCCGAUUUAUGAGAAAGACAGAAGUAGUUACCGCUUCGGCCCAAAAACGUUUUGGAACACGCAUAGUAAAACAUAAGACUCGAGCAACUUCAAGAAUGUGUCGAUUUUUUCGCUCUGCGACGCCGUUUUGUUGAGGUGUGUAAGCACAAGUGGUCUGAUGGAGAAUGCCGUGAGUCGAGAAGAAGUUGCCAAGAGUUUGGUUUACAAACUCACGACCAUUGUCAGAAUGAAUAACUUUGACCUGUGUAUGAAAUUGUGUCUCAAUCAUUUUAGAGAAUUUUGGAAUAACAUGCCCAACUUCACCCUUAGAUUUUAACAAAUAUAUCCAACAAACUCUGGUACAGUCAUCAAUGAAAGAGAUAAAAUAUUUAUGACCUGUAAUAGAUGGAGUAGAGAAAGGCCCCCAAACAUCAGUAUGAACACAAGUAAAAGGAAC